GAUUAACGCUAGCGGCAGGCAUAAUACAUGCAAGUUGAACGGCAGCACAGGUAGCAAUACUGGGUGGCGAGUGGCGCACGGGUGCGUAACACGUAUGCAACCUACCCUAUACAGGCGAAUAACCUUUAGAAAUGAGGGCUAAUACGCCGUAGUAUUACAGAUGGGCAUCUAUUUGUAAUUAAAGAUUUAUCGGUAUAGGAUGGGCAUGCGUCCCAUUAGUUAGUUGGUAAGGUAACGGCUUACCGAGACGAUGAUGGGUAGGGGAUCUGAGAGGACUUACCCCCACACUGGUACUGAGACACGGACCAGACUCCUACGGGAGGCAGCAGUAAGGAAUAUUGGGCAAUGGCCGCGAGGCUGACCCAGCCAUGCCGCGUGCAGGAAGACGGCCUUAUGGGUUGUAAACUGCUUUUAUACGGGAAUAAUAGAGUGUACGCGUACAUUUAUGCAAGUAUCGUAUGAAUAAGCAUCGGCUAACUCCGUG
rnacentral:rRNA from 1 species